CAGCAGCCUCUCCUCCAGGUUGCUCUUCCUGAGCACUCUCAGAAAGUGAAGACGCUGCUGGGCCUUUUUUACCACCACAGUGGUAUUUGCAGUCCAGGAGAGAUCAUCAGAGAUCUGCACGCCCAGAAACCUCAUGGAGUGUACCCUCUCCACACGGUUCCCGUGAAUGUAAAGUGUGGCCGGGUCUGCUCUGCCCUUCCUGAAGUCCAAGAUGAGUUCUUUAGUUUUCGUGGUGUUCAGUUGGAGGUUGUUAACUGAACACCACUCAGUCAGUCUGUUGACCUCAUCUCUGUAGUCCGACUCAUCCCCCCUUGAGAUGAGUCCAACCACAGUGGUGUCGUCCGCAAACUUUAUGAUGGUGUUUGAGAGAUGGGUAGGGGAGCAGUCGGAUGUGUAGAGCGUAAACAGGAGGGGACUCAGAACACAUCCUUGUGGAGACCCAGUGCUGAGUGUGAUGGUGCUGGACAGGUGGGGGCCGAGUCUGACAGACUGUGGUCUGUUUGUCAGGAAGUCCUUGAUCCAGAGGCAGAUGGGGGUGGAGAGUCCCAGGUGACUCAGCGCAGUGUGGAGCGCUAUGGUGAUAGCGUCCUCGGUGGAUCGAUUAGUCCUGUAGGCAAAUUGGUGGGGGUCCAAAGUGGGAGGCAGACUGGCCCUGAUGUGCUGACAGACCAGUCUCUCAAAGCACUUCAUCACUACAGGCGUCAGGGUUUUUUUUGUAUGCUGAAUUGUUCCUGAGGUGGAUUCCUCCGGUGAAAUAGAUGGCGAGCCUUCCCACCUGGACUUAGAGAGACUGAGAUUCGCUUCUUUUCCACUAAAUGAUCUGCUGCACCUUGCGGUGUGGUAGGACUGUAUCACUCACACUUUCACACACAGCUGGUUAUACAUAAGACCACUGACUGACAUUCUCUCACCCCUAUUUUCUUUCACACCCUGGGAAUUUUUUGGACUAUACCCCUUGGACAUUUUUUAUUUGGGACUUUAAAUAAUAAGCUGUUGUGUAGAACAUUCUCCACAUGUGAAAAGAGUGUGAGAUUUUCAUUUGAAUGUACAUUGGAUUUGUGUAAUCUGUUUCUAUAAGAGUUAAGGAGUCAGAUUACUAGGGUGCACCCGAGCAUUGAAACCCGAGCUUUGAAACCCAACAUUGAAAACCAAAAGUAACACUUGGCCAAGUCAUUAUUUUAGCAGUUUAUGUGUUUUACUUUUCUUUCAUUUUUGUAAGUUUCCUUUCUGCAAUUGUAAAGUGCCUUUAACCUGUGCUUGACAACCUUAUAGUUUAUUUCACUAAAGUCGGCUGGUUCUUUUGAGUUACAUUCAUGUCUCUGUGUCUCAUUUAAACACACCCCUGUGCUCCUAUAGUCGAACCUAUUGGCCCAUUUAUAUAUUCUUUUCAACAAUUCCCC
ensembl:lncRNA